AACCAGGAGACAGGUGCUGCAUGGCUGUCGUCAGCUCGUGUCGUGAGAUGUUGGGUUAAGUCCCGCAACGAGCGCAACCCUUAUCUUUAAUGCCAGCAUUCAGUUGGGCACUUUAGCGAGACUGCCGGUAAUAAACCGGAGGAAGUGGGAUGACGUCAAUCAUCAUGCCCCUUAUGACCUGGGCUACACACGUGCUACAAUGGUUGGUACAACGAGUUGCGAGUCGGUGACGGCGAGCUAAUCUCUUAAAGCCAAUCUCAGUUCGGAUUGUAGGCUGCAACUCGCCUACAUGAAGUCGGAAUCGCUAGUAAUCGCGGAUCAGCACGCCGCGGUGAAUACGUUCCCGGGCCUU
rnacentral:rRNA from 1 species